rnacentral:tRNA from 1 species
GCCUUUGUGGUGGAAUGGUAGACACGUGUGAUUCAAAAUCAUAUGCUUUAUGCGUAUCGGUUCGAUACCGAUCAAGGGUA